rnacentral:rRNA from 1 species
GGGGGGGGGGGGGGGGGGGGGGGGGGGGGGGGGGGCGGGCGGGGGGGGGCGGCGGUGGGGGGGGGCGCGGGUGGCGAACGGGUGGGUAACAGGUGAGUAACCGGCGCUUGACUUUGGGAUAACUUCAGGAAACGGGGGCUAAUACCGGAUAGGAGCUCCUGCUGCAUGGUGGGGGUUGGAAAGUGUCGGCGGGUGGGGAUGGACUCGCGGCUUAUCAGCUUGUUGGUGGGGUAGUGGCUUACCAAGGCUUUGCCGGGUAGCCGGCCUGAGAGGGUGACCGGCCACAUUGGGACUGAGAUACGGCCCAGACUCCUACGGGAGGCAGCAGUGGGGAAUAUUGCACAAUGGGCGGAAGCCUGAUGCAGCAACGCCGCGUGCGGGAUGACGGCCUUCGGGUUGUAAACCGCUUUCGCCUGUGACGAAGCGUGAGUGACGGUAAUGGGUAAAGAAGCACCGGCUAACUACGUG